AGGACAACGCUGGCGGCGUGCCUAACACAUGCAAGUCGAGCGGAGAUAUAUGGAAGGUUUACCGGAAAUAUAUCUUAGCGGCAGACGGGUGAGUAACGCGUGGGCAACCUGCCUCAUACAGGGGGAUAACACAGGGAAACUUGUGCUAAUACCGCAUGAAAUCAUAGUAUGGCAUCAUACAAUGAUCAAAGGAGCAAUCCGGUAUGAGAUGGGCCCGCGUCCGAUUAGCUAGUUGGUGAGGUAACGGCUCACCAAGGCGACGAUCGGUAGCCGAACUGAGAGGUUGAUCGGCCACAUUGGGACUGAGACACGGCCCAGACUCCUACGGGAGGCAGCAGUGGGGAAUAUUGCGCAAUGGGGGAAACCCUGACGCAGCAACGCCGCGUGAAGGAAGAAGGCCUUCGGGUUGUAAACUUCUUUGAUAGGGGACGAUAAUGACGGUACCCUAAAAACAAGCCACGGCUAACUACGUG
rnacentral:rRNA from 1 species